ensembl:lncRNA novel transcript
ACUUCUGAAACAGGUCCCCAGUGGCACCUCAGUUUAUCCAUUCCCGUUUUGGUUUCGCAGCUGUCAUCCGGUCCCAACGCCAGAAUAGGAGAAAAACCUGCAGGCUAAGAGAGAAGGGAGGGCUGGGCCUGAGGUUCAGUCUUGGUCAUCUCCGACUGGCGGCGCUAGGAUUUCCCCCUUCCUGUGUCUUGAUGGGUUCCUCCAACACUCACUUUGUAUCGAUAAACGACCCUGCAGUUCUUCACGACCUGCAUUGCGCUGGCAGUCCUGAGUGAAGAACUCUCCUCUCAUCCCAGAGAUGGGAAACCUGGAUCUGAGACUGCCAGCUAGCUGCGGCCUCCUAGUCUGUAAAGCGAAGGGAGACCAGGACGCUCCCAAGGACCCGGCUUAUCGCCCCUCCCUUUCCUUCCCGGGGACCCAGAACAGACCACAAGACGGAGGGUGGCCGCUGGAGGUCGCCGUGGCCCCGCGAUACCACCAACCGACAGAAAUGGAGAACAGUUGAUUCAGAUUCAGCUGAUAUUCUCAGGUCUGGAGCGGGCCUGAGCGCUUUAAUUAGCCCGGGGCUAAUGUCCUCACCCAUCUUUGUUUAUAGAACGUUGAAACUCCAGUACUGUUGGUAAGUUCCAGGAAGACAGGAACUUUGCACUACUUGAACUCCAGGGUCUAGAACAGCCUGCAAUCUAGCAGAUGCUGUAAAUUUUUUAAUUAAAUACUGAACUCCUGUAGGACGGUGA